rnacentral:rRNA from 1 species
AGUCGAGGGGCAGCAUUUCAGUUUGCUUGCAAACUGGAGAUGGCGACCGGCGCACGGGUGAGUAACACGUAUCCAACCUGCCGAUAACUCGGGGAUAGCCUUUCGAAAGAAAGAUUAAUACCCGAUGGUAUAAUUAGACCGCAUGGUCUUGUUAUUAAAGAAUUUCGGUUAUCGAUGGGGAUGCGUUCCAUUAGGCAGUUGGUGAGGUAACGGCUCACCAAACCUUCGAUGGAUAGGGGUUCUGAGAGGAAGGUCCCCCACAUUGGAACUGAGACACGGUCCAAACUCCUACGGGAGGCAGCAGUGAGGAAUAUUGGUCAAUGGGCGCAGGCCUGAACCAGCCAAGUAGCGUGAAGGAUGACUGCCCUAUGGGUUGUAAACUUCUUUUAUAUGGGAAUAAAGUUUUCCACGUGUGGAAUUUUGUAUGUACCAUAUGAAUAAGGAUCGGCUAACUCCGUGCCAGCAGCCGCGGUAAUACGGAGGAUCCGAGCGUUAUCCGGAUUUAUUGGGUUUAAAGGGAGCGUAGGUGGACAGUUAAGUCAGUUGUGAAAGUU